UUCCUCACUGCCUUGGACAAGCACUACGGCAGACUGAUGGAGAUCAUAAAAAAAAAAGGGAGGAGUUAUCAGAGAGAUAACCCUGAACAUACUGAAAGUUCUUGAUCACAGCCUUGAGGUGAAUCUAAAAAGAGUGUGUCUGCUUAAGUGCCUGAUUGUGUACCUUGGGGAAGAUGGGGACAACCUUAUCAAGGACUAUCUGGUUGUUCAGAAGGAUGAAGCUUGGUCCCAGCUUCAGAAGUGCAAAAUGGCAGUGUUUGUCUUCAGGGAGGAGGAGGAUUGCCUCCAGCCGCCACACGACAUUGGAGUUGUGAUCGAUGGUGAGGUCCUUAAUGGUUUGCAAUCAGUAGCGCAUGCAUGUGCCAUGUUGCUUGGGCUCA